rnacentral:rRNA from 1 species
AUAUCAAUAAGCGGAGGAAAAGAAACCAACAGGGAUUGCCUUAGUAGCGGCGAGUGAAGCGGCAAAAGCUCAAAUUUGAAAUCUGGCUCUUUCAGAGUCCGAGUUGUAAUUUGAAGAAGGUAUCUUUGGGUCUGGCUCUUGUCUAUGUUUCUUGGAACAGAACGUCACAGAGGGUGAGAAUCCCGUGCGAUGAGAUGAUCCAGGCCUAUGUAAAGUUCCUUCGAAGAGUCGAGUUGUUUGGGAAUGCAGCUCUAAGUGGGUGGUAAAUUCCAUCUAAAGCUAAAUAUUGGCGAGAGACCGAUAGCGAACAAGUACAGUGAUGGAAAGAUGAAAAGAACUUUGAAAAGAGAGUGAAAAAGUACGUGAAAUUGUUGAAAGGGAAGGGCUUGAGAUCAGACUUGGUAUUUUGUAUGUUACUUCUUCGGGGGUGGCCUCUACAGUUUAUCGGGCCAGCAUCAGUUUGGGCGGUAGGAGAAUUGCGUUGGAAUGUGGCACGGCUUCGGUUGUGUGUUAUAGCCUUCGUCGAUACUGCCAGCCUAGACUGAGGACUGCGGUUUAUACCUAGGAUGUUGGCAUAA